rnacentral:lncRNA from 1 species
AACUGUCUGUUCCCGUGGUCCUGGUGCUGUGUUCGCUCCCCCAGUGUUUUCCUGGAGGUUCAGGUGUGUCUUUUCUUGAUGUCGUUACAUUGGUGAUUCAAAAAUGAGACAUAUUUAUUUACACUUUCUAUGAUGUUACAGGUGGGAACACAACUGCUCUGUUUUACUGCUCGGAACCUGGUUGUGCCUUAAAAGUGAACAAAGUGUAUUGUAAGGAUAAGCUAGUCCCAUUUAACUCCCCCAUGGACGAGUGCACAGGUCCCCUCCCUCCAAACACCGUCUGCCAGCGAGGUGGUCUGGCGUUUGUGUCCACUAACACAUCUGGUCCAUGCGAGUUUGAAGCAGACACUUAUAUCCAAACCAAAAAAUGUACAGACAACCCUGAUGUGUGUGAUUUCACCAGCGGUACGACUCCACCACCUCUCACCAUCCCAGACAGUAGAAACCAGGACCAGGGAGGCUCUAGAACACAUUACAUCCUGGUAGUGGUCCUUGGUAGGUUCUGAACCUUUAUCUGUCUACAGCUAAUAAACAAGUGAAAUCACAUUUUGUGUGUUUUGGGACAGUUAUAUUUAAUAUUCACCUCCUCAGUCACAGGUGUGGUACUGGUGCUACUGGUAGGACUAGCUCUGUAUUGGAGGGAACCAGAGAGUCAAAUCAACAACCACGAAGAGAUGCUGCGGUGGUCGAUUGUUUAAAAGAAAACUGUCCAGUCAGACUGACUGCUUGUCUUCGGACUGUGGGAGGAAACUUGAGCCCUCGAAGAGAACACACACAGACAGCAGAACAUGGAGACUCCACGCAGAUGGGGAGACUGAUUUUGUUUUGUAAAAAACAGGAUCAAUCCUGCAAUGAUAAAAUGGAGGAAAGGAUGGACAGACAGAUUUCACUCCUGAUGCUACAACUAACACCAAAACACACCAGUGACUCUCAGGCAGCUGAAUGUAGGACAGUACAGUUAUUUACUCACAGACUCAUAGACAGAGGACAGACAGAUGGACAUAGGCAUUACAGUGUGAUUCCAGUGCUCAGCCACUAA